rnacentral:misc_RNA from 1 species
GAUGAAGAACGCAGUGAAAUGCGAUAAGUAAUGUGAAUUGCAGAAUUCAGUGAAUCAUCGAAUCUUUGAACGCACAUUGCGCCCGCUAGUAUUCUGGCGGGCAUGCCUGUUCGAGCGUCAUUUCAACCAUCAAGCCCUGCUUGUGUUGGGGUCCUGCGGCUGCCCGCAGGCCCUGAAAACCAGUGGCGGGCUCGCUAGUCACACCGAGCGCAGUAGCACAUCUCGCUCAGGGCGUGCGGCGGGUUCUUGCCGUAAAACACCCCCUUUUUACCAAGGUUGACCUCGGAUCAGGUAGGAAUACCCGCUGAACUUAAGCAUAUCAAUAAGCGGAGGA